UACGUAGGGGGCAAGCGUUACUCGGAUUCACUGGGCGUAAAGCGCGUGUAGGCGGCUGGUCAAGCGUGGUGUGAAAUCUCCGGGCUCAACCCGGAAACUGCACCGCGAACUGGCCUGGCUGGAGUGCAGGAGAGGGAAGGGGAAUUCCCGGUGUAGCGGUGAAAUGCGUAGAUAUUCGCAAGAACACCAGUGGCGAAGGCGGCUCACUGGCCCGGUACUGACGCUGAGGUGCGAAAGCGUGGGGAGCAAACAGG
rnacentral:rRNA from 1 species